AUGGUACAAAUGAAAGCAGAUGUUUUGGUACAACUUACAGAAAAGGUGAAGGUAACCCCAGCACGCAUGCGCUGCCUCGGUGGCCAGGGACGUCACCCCCGCGGCUGGGAAGACAGGCUCCCCGUGACGCUUCCCCAGGUGUGCGGGUCAGAGAGGUGCUCUGACACGCCAGGUUCGGGAGCCCCCGUCUUGCGCAGGUUGGUGACGUGCUCACCCAAUUCUCUGAUGGAUGUCACCUGCUCGUUCGGCCUAAAUAAGAAGAUGAAACCAUUUGGACCACAGAGCCACUGGCUGGAGAACUACUGUCCUGGAGUCUCAUCCAGGCCCCUGGACAAUGAACCUAGGAGGAUAGAGGAAAAGCAGUUUCUUCCUCAACAAAACACUACCUCUUAUAGCCUGAGCCUCCAGUGUAGACAUCCAACUGUCCUGAAACUACCCUUCUAUGGGGGAAGUCUGGCCUAGCUAGGUAGACAGGUCAGGUGUGGAGAGAAUAAAGCCAACUUAUGGGUACCA
rnacentral:lncRNA from 1 species